rnacentral:rRNA from 1 species
GAGUUUGAUCCUGGCUCAGAUUGAACGCUGGCGGCAUGCCUUACACAUGCAAGUCGAACGGCAGCAUGAUCUAGCUUGCUAGAUUGAUGGCGAGUGGCGAACGGGUGAGUAAUACAUCGGAACGUGCCCUGUAGUGGGGAUAACUAGUCGAAAGAUUAGCUAAUACCGCAUACGACCUGAGGGUGAAAGUGGGGGACCGCAAGGCCUCAUGCUAUAGGAGCGGCCGAUGUCUGAUUAGCUAGUUGGUGGGGUAAAGGCCCACCAAGGCGACGAUCAGUAGCUGGUCUGAGAGGACGAUCAGCCACACUGGGACUGAGACACGGCCCAGACUCCUACGGGAGGCAGCAGUGGGAAUUUUGGACAAUGGGCGAAAGCCUGAUCCAGCAAUGCCGCGUGUGUGAGAA